rnacentral:rRNA from 1 species
CCUAGGGGUGGCUGCAGUGGGGAAUAUUGGACAAUGGGCGAAAGCCUGAUCCAGCCAUGCCGCGUGUGUGAAGAAGGCCUUCGGGUUGUAAAGCACUUUCAGUGGGGAAGAAAGCCUUGGGGCUAAUACCCUCGAGGAAGGACAUCACCCACAGAAGAAGCACCGGCUAACUCCGUGCCAGCAGCCGCGGUAAUACGGAGGGUGCGAGCGUUAAUCGGAAUUACUGGGCGUAAAGCGCGCGUAGGCGGUCUGAUAAGCCGGUUGUGAAAGCCCCGGGCUCAACCUGGGAACGGCAUCCGGAACUGUCAGGCUAGAGUGCAGGAGAGGAAGGUAGAAUUCCCGGUGUAGCGGUGAAAUGCGUAGAGAUCGGGAGGAAUACCAGUGGCGAAGGCGGCCUUCUGGACUGACACUGACGCUGAGGUGCGAAAGCGUGGGUAGCAAACAGGAUUAGAUACCCGUGUAGUC